rnacentral:rRNA from 1 species
GCCGUAAACGAUGGAUACUAGCUGUUGGAGGUAUCGACCCCUUCAGUAGCGAAGCUAACGCGUUAAGUAUCCCGCCUGUGGAGUACGGUCGCAAGACUAAAACAUAAAGGAAUUGACGGGGACCCGCACAAGCGGUGGAUCGUGUUCUUUAAUUCGAUGCUAAACGAAGAACCUUACCAGGGCUUGACAUCCAGGGAAUUUUUGGGAAACCAAUUAGUGCCUUUUGGAACCCUGUGACAGGUGAUGCAUGGCCGUCGUCAGCUCGUGUCGUGAGAUGUUUGGUUAAGUCCAUCAACGAGCGCAACCCUUGUGAAUAGUUGGAUUUUUCUAUUCAGACUGCCCCGGUAACGGGGAGGAAGGAGGGGAUGAUGUCAGGUCAGUAUUUCCCUUACGUCCUGGGCUAGAAACACGAUACAAUGGCUAGUACAAUGCGCAGCGAAGCCGCGAGGUGGAGCAAAUCGCAUCAAAGCUAGUCCCAGUUCGGAUUGGAGGCUGAAACUCGCCUCCAUGAAGUCGGAAUCGCUAGUAAUCGCAAAUCAGCAAGUUGCGGUGAAUACGUUCCCGGGUCUUGUACACACCGCCCGUCAAACCAUGAAAGUGACCAACACCCGAAGUCCGAUUCGUCGGCCUAAGGUGGGGGGCAUGAUUGGGGUUAAGUCGUAACAAGGUAUCCGUACCGGAAGGUGCGGUUGGAUCACCUCCUUC